CUGCCACUCGGACACUGCGGUUCCUGCAUGCUGUCCACAUCGCCCGACGAUUGCCCGCUAUGUUUGGUUGGCC
rnacentral:sRNA from 2 species